rnacentral:rRNA from 1 species
UUCGGGGGUACACGAGUGGCGAACGGGUGAGUAACACGUGGGUAAUCUGCCCUGCACUUCGGGAUAAGCCUGGGAAACCGGGUCUAAUACCGGAUAUGAGCUCCUGCCGCAUGGUGGGGGUUGGAAAGUUUUUCGGUGCAGGAUGAGUCCGCGGCCUAUCAGCUUGUUGGUGGGGUAAUGGCCUACCAAGGCGACGACGGGUAGCCGGCCUGAGAGGGUGAUCGGCCACACUGGGACUGAGACACGGCCCAGACUCCUACGGGAGGCAGCAGUGGGGAAUAUUGCACAAUGGGCGAAAGCCUGAUGCAGCGACGCCGCGUGGGGGAUGACGGUCUUCGGAUUGUAAACUCCUUUCAGUAGGGACGAAGCGAAAGUGACGGUACCUGCAGAAGAAGCACCGGCCAACUACGUGCCAGCAGCCGCGGUAAUACGUAGGGUGCAAGCGUUGUCCGGAAUUACUGGGCGUAAAGAGCUCGUAGGCGGUUUGUCACGUCGUCUGUGAAAUCCUCCAGCUCAACUGGGGGCGUGCAGGCGAUACGGGCAGACUUGAGUACUACAGGGGAGACUGGAAUUCCUGGUGUAGCGGUGAAAUGCGCAGAUAUCAGGAGGAACACCGGUGGCGAAGGCGGGUCUCUGGGUAGUAACUGACGCUGAGGAGCGAAAGCAUGGGGAGCAAACAGGAUUAGAUACCCUGGUAGUCCAUGCCGUAAACGGUGGGCGCUAGGUGUGGGGUCCUUCCACGGAUUCCGUGCCGUA